rnacentral:rRNA from 1 species
GAUGAACGCUGGCGGCGUGCCUAAUACAUGCAAGUCGAGCGAACAGACGAGGAGCUUGCUCCUCUGACGUUAGCGGCGGACGGGUGAGUAACACGUGGAUAACCUACCUAUAAGACUGGGAUAACUUCGGGAAACCGGAGCUAAUACCGGAUAAUAUAUUGAACCGCAUGGUUCAAUAGUGAAAGACGGUUUUGCUGUCACUUAUAGAUGGAUCCGCGCCGCAUUAGCUAGUUGGUAAGGUAACGGCUUACCAAGGCAACGAUGCGUAGCCGACCUGAGAGGGUGAUCGGCCACACUGGAACUGAGACACGGUCCAGACUCUUACGGGAGGCAGCAGUAGGGAAUCGUCCGCAAUGGGCGAAAGCCUGACGGAGCAACGCCGCGUGAGUGAUGAAGGUCUUCGGAUCGUAAAACUCUGUUAUUAGGGAAGAACAAAUGUGUAAGUAACUAUGCACGUCUUGACGGUACCUAAUCAGAAAGCCACGGCUAACUACGUG